rnacentral:rRNA from 1 species
GGUGAACGCUGGCGGCGUGCUUGACACAUGCAAGUCGAACGGUAUGUGGCAACACAUAGAGUGGCGAACGGGUGAGUAACACGUGGGAACGUAUCUUUUGCAGGGGGAUAACUGACCGAAAGGACAGCUAAUACCGCAUAAGUCCGAGAGGAGAAAGGUGCAACAGCAUCGGGCAGAAAGAGCGGCCCGCGGUCCAUCAGCUAGUUGGUGAGGUAAGGGCUUACCAAGGCGACGACGGAUAGCCGGCGUGAGAGCGUGGCCGGCCACAAGGACACUGAGAUACGGGUCCUACUCCUACGGGAGGCAGCAGUGCGGAAUUUUAGGAUAAUGGAGGGAACUCUGAUCUAGCGACGCCGCGUGGCAGGAAGAAGGUCUUCGGAUUGUAAACUGCUGUGGUAAGGGAAAAAUGCUAGUAGAGUGGAAAGCUACAUAGAGGGAUGGUACCUUACUAGAAAGCCCCGGCUAACUACGUGCCAAGCAGCCGCGGUAAUACGU